CACAUGAUUAUUGUCUUGUAUAAUAGCUCGUUGUUAAACUAUCUGCAUGUUCUUUUGUUUUCAUUUUGCUAGCUAUUCUUAUUAGUAUAGCUAAUAGCUGUAGCUAAAUACAGCAGUACAGAACAGUAUGCUAUAGUCCAUCAAAGUUGUCCACAGAAGACGGUUGUUACCGAUCAUAUUUUUAAUUUGUGUGCUUGGGAUAGAUCAACGAGGUGGUUUCAAUAGUUUCCAAGCAGUGAAAUGCCACCAGGAGAAGUGUCCGUUACUUUAUUUCCCUCAUGGCUACUGUGACGAUUUAGAACCGACUGGCUUCUCAAUGUUCUGUUCGUAUAGAAAAUGCAUGUUUUUUGUUCUUUCAUAUUAGCACUGUCAAGCAAAUGAGCCACCUCUUCUGGGAUUAUACCCUUGUGGAAACAUGAUACACUAACAGAACCGAUAUUCGUUAUUAUGGUAACAAUUCUGCAUGUAGCGUCGCUGACAGAACGACAAAAUAAGAAUAUGAGGGAUUUUGAGUACUUCGACGGGUUUCUGGGUUAUUUUCCCUUAUUUGUGGUGCACUGCGCAACAUUAAUGAUCCCCUCCAUCUUCAUAUUUCAAUUUGCUAACGUAAUGGUUCGACUGCAUCAGCGCCGCUGUAUGGAUGCCAAGGCCAUCCAGCACAGUUCGCUGGGGGCGCAAUGGUCCAGCGCAGUGCUGGAGCACAGUAUUCGGUUUAGGUGGUGCUGGUAAUGUGGAGUUGUAAGGGGUGCUCAGAAAAAGUGUCAAGUAGGUCCAAACUUUUGCAUACAGAAGACAUGAAGUUGUUCGUGAUGCACCGAUGGUGGAGGCUUUCAUGUCAAGAUGGCCUGGUCUAUUUGACAUUAGAGAGAUAAAUGCUGAGUUUAAGAGAAUUACGACCAUACCGCUUCAUUCAAAGUUCUUCUCUCAACUGGAUCUCCACUGUGACAACCUGAGGAAGCUCUUCAAAAGAAGAGGAGGACAGCUCGGACAAAAGCUUAGACAAAUUGUUGCACAAAUGGAUGAUUGUGGAGAUGUUGAAGUUGCACGGGAGUGUGUCAUUAAGGGAGUCUGCAUAUAUAUGGGAGAAGAUCCAGCCAAGCUCAUCCAUAAAUAUGUGGGUGUGGAUGAAGCUAAUAUUGAAGAGGGUAUUGGAGCCACCACCAUCGGUGUUUUUCAUCUUAAAGACUGUUCUUCAGCAGAUGAAGACAUCGGGGUCGUUCUUGAAGGCAUCAGAGUGUUGUCCAAUUUGGAUAGUGUGCCAACAGCUGUUGCAAUGCUUUUUGGACUAAUAUAUGCAAUGAACCUCGCCUACCCUGCUGACCUCCGCUACACUUUCGAGGUAUUACAGAAAAUAGUAAUGGAACUGGAUGGAGGUAAACUGUCAAACAAGGCAUUGUCCCUUAAAAACCACCUCUAUGAGUGAAUAGAGAUUUUCUCAUGUUUAAUUUGGUAAUGUUCUCAUGUUCAGUUUUUGUAUUUCUUGUUGUAUUCUUUAUUGGAGGACACAAAUGUAUUUUUUUUAAUGAGGAACGUUCACCUGAAAGACUGGGCUUCAGCAGCUUUUACGUUCCAGUAUGUAGUGCUACUUAUAACACUACUGCUACUUAGUGUUACAAAUAUGUUAAAGAAAUUUGCUAUAAAAGUUACAUUACACUGAUUUAUUGUCAUGCAAAUUACAUGUUCAGAAUUGUUUUAGAAAUUUUACAUACUUUUCUAAAUCAUUUUGUCUUUCAUAUUAAUAUCUUAUAGAUAAACUUUUAAGAUGUAGUGUUUCCCUUGUAAAAAAAUGUUCUUGUUUUUACACAUUUGUUUAGACUAUCACUAUGGUAUUACAUAGUAAUCAGUAAGACAUGUGACAGAUAAUUGGUGUAAAAAGUUUAGCUUUGUCUCAUAUUGACAUAACAUACUGAUAGUUUUAACAAAUAUGUUAAAAAAGUCUGUAAAGCUAUGUACUGCAGCAUUAAUUAAUGUCAUUUGAACACAUGUUCAAAAACAGUUUGUAGAAAUUUGACAUACUUUUCAUAAUCUUGUACAUCUUUUAUAGAAAUAUGUCUCAGGUUUUCCUUCAUGUUCAUAAAAAUUGUAUUUACUAAAUUUAAAAAAAUUCAUGUCUCUUCAAUUUAAAAUAUGUUAAGUACAAAAUGGUGUGAUUUAAAUGUUCUUUCAAAUAAAACUAAUUUGUUCAGUAGCACUCGCUUUCUUUGUCUUUCUUGUCAAAUAUCAGUCUUUAAUUUUUUACAGUAGAACAGCAUAUAGAGAACUUGAAAAAAUUAAGUAGGAUUUAAAGCUGUAACAUGUGUUCCAUUAACAUGAUAGAAUUUUGUUCGCCCAACACAAUUUCAUUGAGUAAUACUGGCAAUGAAAAAUAAGCUGGUGUUAUUCAUUACAAUAGUGUUGCUGAGACAUAAAAAAAGUUAUUGAUAAUACAUAAUAUAUUUACAUUAUGGUAAGAGA